GUACCCGCUGAACUUAAGCAUAUCAAUAAGCGGAGGAAAAGAAACCAACAGGGAUUGCCCCAGUAACGGCGAGUGAAGCGGCAACAGCUCAAAUUUGAAAUCUGGCCCCCCCGCCCGGGGGUCCGAGUUGUAAUUUGCAGAGGAUGCCUCGGGCAACGCGCCUUCCGAGUCCCCUGGAACGGGGCGCCACAGAGGGUGAGAGCCCCGUAUGGUCGGACGCCGCGCCCGCGUGAGGCUCCCUCGAAGAGUCGAGUAGUUUGGGAAUGCUGCUCAAAACGGGAGGUAAAUGCCUUCUAAAGCUAAAUACCGGCCGGAGACCGAUAGCGCACAAGUAGAGUGAUCGAAAGAUGAAAAGCACUUUGGAAAGAGGGUCAAACAGCACGUGAAAUUGUUGAAAGGGAAGCGCCCGUGACCAGACUCGGGGCCUGCGGAUCACCCGGCGCUCGCCGCCGGCGCACUCCGCAGGCCGCGGGCCAGCACCGGCCCCCGCGGGGGGACAAAGGCGGGGGGGACGUGGCCCCCAUCACGGGGGUGUUAUAGCCCCCCGCGCAAUGCGCCCGCAGGGGGCCGAGGACCGCGCUUCGGCAAGGAUGCUGGCGUAAUGGUCACCGGCGACCCGUCUUGAAACACGGACCAAGGAGUCAAGGUUCCGCGCGAGUGUACGGGUGGCCAAAGCCCGCGGCGCGAAAUGAAAGUGAACGCAGGUGAGAGCCGCGAGGCGCAUCAUCGACCGAUCCCGACGUGCUCGGACGGAUUUGAGUGGGAGCGCGGAGCCUUGGACCCGAAAGAUGGUGAACUAUGCCUGGAUAGGGCGAAGCCAGAGGAAACUCUGGUGGAGGCUCGCAGCGGUUCUGACGUGCAAAUCGAUCGUCGAAUCUGGGCAUGGGGGCGAAAGACUAAUCGAACCGUCUAGUAGCUGGUUGCCGCCGAAGUUUCCCUCAGGAUAGCAGUGUCGGGCCUCAAGUUUUAUGAGGUAAAGCGAAUGAUUAGGGACCCGGGGGCGUCCAUCAAGCCUCCAUCCAUUCUCAAA
rnacentral:rRNA from 1 species